rnacentral:sRNA from 1 species
UAACAUAGCGGCUUCAGAGGGAAU